AAGGCGGGCCGAGCCAGAAUGGGAAGGCAAUGCAGAGUCAUGCAAUUUUAUAAAUACAGAAAUACUCGUGAUCGGAUUUGUGUUCAGAAAGAACUAACAUAGGGGAGAAUGGAAAGUAGACCGGGAGAGGCAAACAUAGGGAAGGAAGACCCAAGAAGGGGAGUCCCUUUGCAGUGAUCCAGGAGAACCAUGAUAAGGCCACCGAGGGCAAGGCAACCAUGAACAGCAGACCCACUGUGGAGUCUCCUGGGAAAGUGUGAACAUGACAGUGAACAGCUUACAUCAAAGACAUUUCAAUUCUGCAACAAGCCUUUCUGCUUCGGGGGACACUACGGACAUGAAUGAGAAGAUAGAAGAAUUCUGGGAGAACUGCUACCCUCCUGGGUCAAAGAUGGGGCUGCUUUUCUGCCAGUUGGACCUUCUCAGUACCUGAAAUGUAACAUCUAGAAAGAGAACACAUCAGAUCCUCCUAAAUUAGUUUCUUCUGAUUCUGUUUGCUCAGUCACUCCAGCUCAAAAGCUCUGUCACCAUGUUUAACUACUUGUCUAGUACCCCUUAUAUUACUUGCCAAUUUAUAUUCAUUCUGUGUCCACUGCCUUCACAAUGUCUUCUUUAUCACUUCCCUUCUUUCCACUCCCACUUACACAGUCCUCACAGAAGCCCUCAUUACUCCUCACUUGGACAACCGUAAUAGCUUUCUAACUGUCUCCUCACCUACCCUUUCCAAGCCCUAAUGCAUUCUACUCGCGACUGACAUAUUAAUCUUCCUAAAGUCUAUCUUUAAUCAUGUCAUCCCCUUGCUUGCAAAUGUCAAAUGUCUUCCCAGUGACUACUAAAUUAAGUACUAAGUUUUCGCCCUAACAUUCAAGGCUCCCCAGAGUAAGCCUUAGCUGAUCAUUUGUGCCUCAUUUCCCAUUAGUCUUCCAAGCCCCUUAUGGUCAAUCUAGACUAUGAGCCAAUCCUCAGUCACAUCUCCUGAGCAAAUCCCUCUAUUCAUUCUUGUCCUUCUUCAAAGAAUGUCCUUUGCCCUCAUUUUAGCUUAGAAUGCCACCCAUUCUGCAAGGUCAGUCAUGGAAUGCUUCAUGGAACAUUUCUGGACUUUCCCCUGCUGAAUAUAAUUUCUCACCAUUAUUUGUGCCUCUCUUAAAGCACUAAUCACAGUCCUAUGAAGAGUUAAAAAGUUGCAGGAACUUAGAGCAAGGAGAUCUAUCCAACUUACUCUCUCAUGAAUUGGAGCAAGAAUGUAAUCCUUUAAAAAUCUCAGUUUAUGUAAUAAAAUUCAACAAAUAUUUAUUAAGAACCAUCUCUAUGCUUGGAAUAUAGCAGUGAACAAAACAAAUACUUACCUUCUAAGGGAGAUGGCAGAUAUACAGGCAUUUAGAAAUAUACAAGGUGGGCAUCUGGAUGGUUCAUGUGGUUAAGCAUCUGACUCUUG